GCCUGGGUGGCUCAGUCGGUUGAACAUCUGACUUCGGCUCAGGUCAUGAUCUCACAGUUUGUGGGUUCAAGUCCUGCGUCGGGCU
rnacentral:tRNA from 1 species